rnacentral:rRNA from 1 species
UUUCUUCUUCUCUAUCGGGGGGGGGGGACAAGUAGGGAAUCUUCCGCAAUCGGACGAUAGUCUGACGGAGCACGCCGCGUGAGUGAUGAAUGGUUUUCGGAUCGUAAGCUCUGUUGUUAGGGAAGAACAAGUGCCGUUCAAAUAGGGCGGCACCUUGACGGUACCUAACCAGAAAGCCACGGCUAACUACGUGCCAGCAGCCGCGGUAAUACGUAGGUGGCAAGCGUUGUCCGGAAUUAUUGGGCGUAAAGGGCUCGCAGGCGGUUUCUUAAGUCUGAUGUGAAAGCCCCCGGCUCAACCGGGGAGGGUCAUUGGAAACUGGGGAACUUGAGUGCAGAAGAGGAGAGUGGAAUUCCACGUGUAGCGGUGAAAUGCGUAGAGAUGUGGAGGAACACCAGUGGCGAAGGCGACUCUCUGGUCUGUAACUGACGCUGAGGAGCGAAAGCGUGGGGAGCGAACAGGAUUAGAUACCCUGGUAGUCCACGCCGUAAACGAUGAGUGCUAAGUGUUAGGGGGUUUCCGCCCCUUAGUGCUGCAGCUAACGCAUUAAGCACUCCGCCUGGGGAGUACGGUCGCAAGACUGAAACUCAAAGGAAUUGACGGGGGCCCGCACAAGCGGUGGAGCAUGUGGUUUAAUUCGAAGCAACGCGAAGAACCUUACCAGGUCUUGACAUCCUCUGACAAUCCUAGAGAUAGGACGUCCCCUUCGGGGGCAGAGUGACAGGUGGUGCAUGGUUGUCGUCAGCUCGUGUCGUGAGAUGUUGGGUUAAGUCCCGCAACGAGCGCAACCCUUGAUCUUAGUUGCCAGCAUUCAGUUGGGCACUCUAAGGUGACUGCCGGUGACAAACCGGAGGAAGGUGGGGAUGACGUCAAAUCAUCAUGCCCCUUAUGACCUGGGCUACACACGUGCUACAAUGGACAGAACAAAGGGCAGCGAAACCGCGAGGUUAAGCCAAUCCCACAAAUCUGUUCUCAGUUCGGAUCGCAGUCUGCAACUCGACUGCGUGAAGCUGGAAUCGCUAGUAAUCGCGGAUCAGCAUGCCGCCAUGGUAA